CCUACGGGAGGCAGCAGUGGGGAAUCUUGCACAAUGGGCGAAAGCCUGAUGCAGCAACGCCGCGUGCGGGAAGAAGGCCUUAGGGUUGUAAACCGCUUUCAGCAGGGAAGAAAAUGACGGUACCUGCAGAAGAAGGUGCGGCCAACUACGUGCCAGCAGCCGCGGUGACACGUAGGCACCAAGCGUUGUCCGGAUUUAUUGGGCGUAAGGAGCUCGUAGGCGGUUCGGUAAGUCGGGUGUGAAAACUCUGGGCUCAACCCAGAGACGCCACCCGAUACUGCUGUGACUUGAGUACGGUAGGGGAGUGGGGAAUUCCUGGUGUAGCGGUGAAAUGCGCAGAUAUCAGGAGGAACACCAGUGGCGAAGGCGCCACUCUGGGCCGUAACUGACGCUGAGGAGCGAAAGCGUGGGUAGCAAACAGGAUUAGAUACCCUGGUAGUCCACGCCGUAAACGUUGGGCACUAGGUGUGGGUCUCAACCAACGAGAUCCGCGCCGUCGCUAACGCAUUAAGUGCCCCGCCUGGGGAGUACGGUCGCAAGACUAAAACUCAAAGGAAUUGACGG
rnacentral:rRNA from 1 species